UACGUAGGGUGCAAGCGUUAAUCGGAAUUACUGGGCGUAAAGCGUGCGCAGGCGGUUCGUUAAGACAGAUGUGAAAUCCCCGGGCUUAACCUGGGAACUGCAUUUGUGACUGGCGGACUGGAGUAUGGCAGAGGGGGGGUAGAAUUCCACGUGUAGCAGUGAAAUGCGUAGAGAUGUGGAGGAAUACCGAUGGCGAAGGCAGCCCCCUGGGCCAAUACUGACGCUCAUGCACGAAAGCGUGGGGAGCAAACAGG
rnacentral:rRNA from 1 species